rnacentral:rRNA from 1 species
GUCUACGGCCAUGCCACCCUGAACAAGCCCAAUCCCGUUUGAUCUCAGAAGCUAAGCAGGGUCGAGCCUGGUUAGUACUUGGUUGGGAGACCACCUCGAAAGACCAGGUGCUGUAGGCA